rnacentral:rRNA from 1 species
UACGGAGGGUGCAAGCGUUAUCCGGAUUCACUGGGUUUAAAGGGAGCGCAGGCGGACAUGUAAGUCAGUGGUGAAAUACCUGAGCUUAACUCGGGAACUGCCAUUGAUACUAUGUGUCUUGAAUAUUGUUGAGGUUUGCGGAAUGGGUCAUGUAGCGGUGAAAAUGCAUAGAUAUGACCCGGAACACCAAUUGCGAAGGCAGCAGGCUAAACAAAGAUUGACGCUGAGGCUCGAAAGCGUGGGGAUCAAACAGG